UUUAUAUAAAGAAGGGUUUUAAUCCCUCCUAGACUAUCCACAUAGGAUGCCAUGUCACAAACUCAUUUAUUCAGAAGCCGCCACGUGUCUGUUCAUCUAAAACGCAGCGCCUUUAUUCCUUUCUUCGUGAGUUAUGCGAUGAGUCGGCGUCGUCCUGUAUUCCUCCCUUUUGAAUCCUCAUCUUCCGAUCGAAAAAAAUCUGGAAACGUUACGGAGUUAGGCUGAGUUAAAGCGUCGUCUUUAACGCACUCAUUAGCCAUCCCUUUAUUUUUUUUCUCAGAUUUUUCCACUAUAAAAAGGUGUGCUUUACCCCCAAAAAAAUUCAUCAUUCUAAUCUGAGCUUCCUAAAAUAAUAGUCAGGUGUAUCCUUCAUUCUAAUCUGAGCUUCCUAUAAAAAGGUUGGUCUUUGAUUUCAACCUCAAAGAACAAAGAUUUAUCAUCUUCCUUUGAUUUUCUUUUUUCUACUAUCAGUGAUUUCCAUUCCUCCUCAUUUGUUAGCAAAUUUAUGAUUUUCCGUAGUCCAUUAUUGGCUUUUUAUAUUGGCUUUUUCGUAGCCCCUCAUACCUUCUAUAGUGUGAAUCUGCAAUCUAUAAAUAUUCCAACUUACGGUGGGUUUGUGGCGAAUGUAAAAAGUUCUUAGGAGUCUGAUGUCGCAAGAUAAAUUAAUGCAGAUCUUAAUAUGUGUGUAUGCGGAUGUGAUGGAAUUUGUUGUUGUACGCGGAAUGGUGAGAAUUGCGGAGAGUCUGAUAUGGCGGAGCAUUGGAGUCGUAUCGAGGAGACGAGCAAGAAGCAGAGAGAGGGGAAGAGUAUUGGCGGAGUUAUAGUGGAUGAGUGAAGAAACAGCGUGUACGUGGAUGAUCCGUACCAGAGUGCAUGGGGGAAGGAGUAGAUGAGAAGGAAGGCGUUUGAGCUGGUGGAUAGGAAGGUUGGGUACGAGUUGGAGUCGGAAUAGAUGAAGGUCGUUGGAUCUUAAAUAUUUUAUAAAUCUAGCAUUCCCAAUGAUUCUGUUGAUAAUUGAUGUAAGUGGAAAUAUACAUCUGAGAUGAAUUAUGAAACGUGAUUAGCAGCAAAGUUAGGAACAGAGACAGUUCAUGAUUAGGCAUGCAAUGGCACCUCAAUUUUGGAUAGUUUGAAGUUAUCGAAGAUGGAUUUGGAUGUAAGAAUGUGUAAUGGUAAUGGGCUCAAAGAAGUUUCAGUUGGGUUGGCAAGUAGUAUGAUUUAUGCUCCUACACACAAGAAGGAUUAUGUUGGGAUGAGUAGGUAUGAGAAACAAUGGAAGUCAGGAAAUUUCUAAUCUUUUACAUAUUGGUUUAUGUUGCUGUACUUUCUUAAAAUUUACACCGUUUCAGAUAUUUUAAAGUGAAAGAAUUAUAAAUUCCUGCUACAGCA